rnacentral:rRNA from 1 species
CGCUGGCGGCAGGCUUAACACAUGCAAGUCGAACGAAGUCUUCGGACUCAGUGGCAGACGGGUGAGUAACGCGUGGGAACCUACCCUUUGGUACGGAACAACAGUUGGAAACGACUGCUAAUACCGUAUGAGCCCUACGGGGGAAAGAUUUAUCGCCAAAGGAUGGGCCCGCGUUGGAUUAGCUAGUUGGUGGGGUAAAAGCCUACCAAGGCGACGAUCCAUAGCUGGUCUGAGAGGAUGAUCAGCCACACUGGGACUGAGACACGGCCCAGACUCCUACGGGAGGCAGCAGUGGGGAAUAUUGGACAAUGGGGGCAACCCUGAUCCAGCCAUGCCGCGUGAGUGAUGAAGGCCCUAGGGUUGUAAAGCUCUUUCAGCGAGGAGGAUAAUGACGUUACUCGCAGAAGAAGCCCCGGCUAACUUCGUGCCAGCAGCCGCGGUAAUACGAAGGGGGCUAGCGUUGUUCGGAAUCACUGGGCGUAAAGCGCACGUAGGCGGACUUUUAAGUCAGGGGUGAAAUCCCGGGGCUCAACCCCGGAACUGCCUUUGAUACUGGAAGUCUUGAGUNCUAGAGAGGUGAGUGGAACUCCGAGUGUAGAGGUGAAAUUCGUAGAUAUUCGGAAGAACACCAGUGGCGAAGGCGGCUCACUGGCUCGGUACUGACGCUGAGGUGCGAAAGCGUGGGGAGCAAACUGGA